rnacentral:rRNA from 2 species
GCUCAGGAUGGAACGCUGGCGGCGUGCCUAAUACAUGCAAGUCGAGCGAACUGAUUAGAAGCUUGCUUCUAUGACGUUAGCCGCCGAGACGGGUGAGUAAACACGUGGGCAACCUGCCCUGUAAGACUGGGAUAACUUCGGGAAACCCGAAGCUAAUACCGGAUAGGAUCUUCUCCUUCAUGGGAGAUGAUUGAAAGAUGGUUUCGGCUAUCACUUACAGAUGGGCCCCGCGGUGCAUUAGCUAGUUGGUGAGGUAACGGCUCACCAAGGCAACGAUGCAUAGCCGACCUGAGAGGGUGAUCGGCCACACUGGGACUGAGACACGGCCCAGACUCCUACGGGAGGCAGCAGUAGGGAAUCUUCCGCAAUGGACGAAAGUCUGACGGAGCAACGCCGCGUGAGUGAUGAAGGCUUUCGUGGUUCGUAAAACUCUGUUGUUAGGGAAGAACAAGUACAAGAGUAACUGGUUGUACCCUUGACGGUACCUAACCAGAAAGCCACGGCUAACUACGUGCCAGCAGCCGCGGUAAUACGUAGGUGGCAAGCGUUAUCCGGAAUUAUUGGGCGUAAAGCGCGCGCAGGCGGUUUCUUAAGUCUGAUGUGAAAGCCCACGGCUCAACCGUGGAGGGUCAUUGGAAACUGGGGAACUUGAGUGCAGAAGAGAAAAGCGGAAUUCCACGUGUAGCGGUGAAAUGCGUAGAGAUGUGGAGGAACACCAGUGGCGAAGCGGCUUUUUGGUCUGUAACUGACGCUGAGCGCGAAAGCGUGGGGAGCAAACAGGAU